AUCCCUUUUUCCCAAAAUAAUACAGUACCACAAAUCGAACCAAACCCUAGCUUCUCCUCCCCGAUCCCCAUCCGGCGCCUCGCCGGAACCCUAGCCCAGAUCCGCGGCAACUCCGCCGUACCAGCCAUGGGGACCCUUAGGGAGAUCCUGCCGUCGCCCAAGACGUCGUCCUCCACGUUCUACGACCACAGCAGCGACCCGUGGUUCAAGGAGCGGUACGGCGGGGAGCCCGCGGAGGCGGCGGCGGGGAAGCUAGCGGGCCCCGCCAAGCCCGUGCCUCCCUACGGGAAGCGCACCGGCUUCGUCCCCCGGCGGCCGGAGGACUUCGGCGAUGGCGGCGCCUUCCCCGAGAUCCUCCUCGCGCAGUACCCGCUCGGCAUGGGCCGCCGCGACGACAAGGGCGGGUCCAAGAUCCUCGCGCUCACCGUCGACGCGCAGGGCAGCGUCGCCUUCGACGCCGUCGUCAAGCAGGGCGAGAACGCCAAGAAGAUCGUCUACUCCAAGCACAGCGACAUCGUGCCCAAGAUCGCCACGGCCGACUCCGAAGCCGUCGAGGACGAGGAGUACGAUAAGGAGGUCGAGGAGACCAAAGAGCGUACCGUAGCUGCCCUGCAGAAGAUUGUCAACGUCCGCCUCUCUGCUGCCCAGCCCAAAAACGUUCCGACGCAUGAUUCGGAAUCGAAGUUCAUCAAGUAUAAGCCGUCGCAGCAGUCGGCAGCUUUCAAUUCAGGUGCCAAGGAGAGGAUUAUUAGGAUGUCGGAGAUGGCUUCAGAUCCUCUCGACCCACCAAAGUUCAAGCAUAAGCGAGUGCCCCGUGCAUCCGGGUCGCCGCCUGUGCCGGUGAUGCACUCGCCACCGCGGCCUGUCACAGUGAAGGACCAGCAGGAUUGGAAGAUCCCACCUUGCAUCUCAAAUUGGAAGAAUCCAAAGGGUUACACAAUCCCACUUGACAAGAGGUUGGCAGCUGAUGGGAGGGGGCUGCAGGAGGUUCAGAUUAAUGAUAACUUUGCAAAGCUUUCAGAAGCGUUGUAUGUUGCAGAGCAGAAGGCGAGGGAAGCAGUGCAGAUGCGCUCCAAGGUGCAGAGGGAGCUAAUGCUAAAGGAGAAGGAGAGGAAGGAGCAAGAGUUGAGGGCACUUGCACAGAAGGCCCGCAUGGAAAGGUCUGGUGCUCCACCUCCAUCCACGGGUAUGCCUGUUGGAGGUGGGAGGGAGAGAGAGCGGGAGAGGGUUGAUGAUGGGGAUGCAGAUAUGGAUUUGGAGCAGCCGCGUGAGCAGCGCAGGGAGACUAGAGAAGAGAGGGAGGCGAGGAUUGAGCGUGACAGGAUCCGUGAGGAGCGGAGGCGUGAGAGGGAGAGGGAGAGGAGGCUGGAGGCGAAGGAGGCUGCUGGAACACAUAAAAAGAGUAAGCUCACUAGAGACAGGGACCGUGACGUCGGUGAGAAGGUGGCCCUGGGUAUGGCACACACUGGUGCAAAGACCGGGGAAGUCAUGUAUGACCAGAGGCUCUUUAACCAGGACAAGGGAAUGGACUCUGGUUUUGGUGCUGAUGAUCAGUACAACCUGUAUUCGAAGGGCCUCUUCACAGCACAGUCCAGUAUGUCCUCACUUUACAGGCCCAAGAAGGAUGGUGAUUCUGAAGUGUAUGGUGGUGAUGCCAACGAACAGUUGGACAAGGUUAUGAAGACAGAGAGGUUCAAGCCUGACAAGGCGUUUACCGGUGCUCCAGAGAGGGCUGGCAAGAGAGAUAGACCGGUGGAGUUUGAUAAGCAAGAGGAGGCCGAUCCAUUUGGUCUUGAUCAGUUCUUGACUGAGGUGAAGAAGGGGAAGAAAGCUGUGGACAAGAUUGGUGGCGGUGGAACUAUGAAGGCAAGUGGUGGAUCUUCGAGGGAUGAUUACGAGGGUGGAGGAUCUGGGAGGUCUCGCAUUAACUUCGAAAGAGGAGGGCGUUGAGGAUUUCUUUGGAGAAUAUGAUCCUUCUUACACAAGGAAGCAAAUAUCAUCCUGAAGUAUUACUUUGGAGAAUAUGAUCUUUCUUACAGAAGGAAGAACCUGAUGGUUUAGUUGCUGUGAUAGGGCUGCUUGUUCUAUUUCAACCAUUGUGUUAAACGGUGUACCUACUUAUUAGAUCCUAUGAUGCUUGUAUGCUGUGUAGCUUUGUGACGGGAUCCAUGAACUUUGUCGUUACACAUGUUACAUAGGCUCAUCCAUGUCCUGUUAAUUUCAAAGCUGUAUCGAAGUUGUAAUAUAUGUGGCUGGACUGGGUAUAUGUCUCAUCUCUUGUUUAUCAUGCUUGCUGGUUGGAUGAGUUUGUGGUCGUUUUCCAAAAU
rnacentral:rRNA from 1 species